AUCGAACGCUGGCGGCAGGCCUAACACAUGCAAGUCGAGCGAGCGGCGGACGGGUGAGUAAUGUCUGGGAAACUGCCUGAUGGAGGGGGAUAACUACUGGAAACGGUAGCUAAUACCGCAUACCAUCAGAUGUGCUCAGAUGGGAUUAGCUAGUGGGUGGGGUAAUGGCUCACCUGGGCGACGAACCCUAGCUGGUCUGAGAGGAUGAACAGCCAAACUGGAACGGAGACACGGUCCGGACGCCGACGGGAGGCAGCAGUGGGGAAUAUUGGACAAGGGGCGCAAGCCGGAUGCAGCCAUGCCGCGUGGGUGAAGAAGGCCUUCGGGUGGUAAAGCACUUUCAGCGGGGAGGCGUUACCCGCAGAAGAAGCACCGGCUAACUCCGUGCCAGCAGCCGCGGUAAUUC
rnacentral:rRNA from 1 species